rnacentral:rRNA from 1 species
UUGAACGCUGGCGGAAUGCUUUACACGUGCAAGUCGAACGGCAGCACGGGGGCAACCCUGGUGGCGAGUGGCGAACGGGUGAGUAAUACAUCGGAACGUGCCCGGUCGUGGGGGAUAACGUAGCGAAAGUUACGCUAAUACCGCAUACGAUCUGAGGAUGAAAGCGGGGGACCUUCGGGCCUCGCGCGAUCGGAGCGGCCGAUGUCAGAUUAGGUAGUUGGUGGGGUAAAGGCCUACCAAGCCGACGAUCUGUAGCUGGUCUGAGAGGACGACCAGCCACACUGGGACUGAGACACGGCCCAGACUCCUACGGGAGGCAGCAGUGGGGAAUUUUGGACAAUGGGCGCAAGCCUGAUCCAGCCAUUCCGCGUGCAGGACGAAGGCCUUCGGGUUGUAAACUGCUUUUGUAUGGAACGAAAAGGCUCUGGCUAAUACCUGGGGCUCAUGACGGUACCGUAAGAAUAAGCACCGGCUAACUACGUG